UACUCCUACGGGAGGCAGCAGUGGGGAAUUUUGGACAAUGGGGGCAACCCUGAUCCAGCCAUUCCGCGUGAGUGAAGAAGGCCUUCGGGUUGUAAAGCUCUUUCAGCAGGAGCGAAACGGUCGUUUUUAAUACAGACGGCUAAUGACGGUACCUGCAGAAGAAGCACCGGCUAACUACGUGCCAGCAGCCGCGGUAAUACGUAGGGUGCGAGCGUUAAUCGGAAUUACUGGGCGUAAAGCGCGCGUAGGUGGUUCAGCAAGUUGGAUGUGAAAGCCCCGGGCUCAACCUGGGAACUGCAUCCAAAACUACUGGGCUAGAGUAUGGUAGAGGGUGGUGGAAUUUCCUGUGUAGCGGUGAAAUGCGUAGAUAUAGGAAGGAACGCCAGUGGCGAAGGCGACCACCUGGACUAAUACUGA
rnacentral:rRNA from 1 species